UACGGAGGGUGCAAGCGUUGCUCGGAAUUAUUGGGCGUAAAGGGUAGGUAGGUGGUCUCAUUUGUCUGGGGUGAAAUCCUUGAGCUUAACUCAAGAACUGCCCCAGAAACGGUGAGACUAGAGUCCUAGAGAGGGUCGUGGAAUUCCCGGUGUAGCGGUGAAAUGCGUAGAGAUCGGGAGGAACACCAGAGGCGAAGGCGGCGACCUGGACAGGCACUGACACUCAACUACGAAAGCGUGGGGAGCAAACAGG
rnacentral:rRNA from 1 species